rnacentral:lncRNA from 1 species
AGGGCCUGGUGCUGGCUGAAGUGGCCGCGCACGGCCGCCGGUGAUCUGGACGAGCUCCUGCUGGUCGAAGGCCUCGCGUUCCUCGCCGUGUCCUGGGUCCUCGCCUUCGUCUUCGCCUUCAGCCGCGUUCACCUCUUCCCUGGUGCUGGCUGAGGUCGCCGCGCACGCCACCGGUGAUCUGGAGGCCGCAGACCGCGUCGAGGUCAUCAAGCAGAACGAGCUCUUGCAUCGUCGUCAUCCUCAUUCAGCGCUCCAACUCCAACCAGCGGUGCGGGGUGGCUCUUGCGUCGUCAUCCUCCGCCUUCUGCUCGUGCGAGCUCACAGCCUGUCAGUUCGUGGUGACAUGAACUAGGUACCGUGGUUUCUAGCGCCAUUGCAUGUGAGCUGUUUGAUAUAUGUCCUCGCUAGGUCAACAUUGAUUGACUUGCACAAAAUAUAGUAGGAGAGAUCAGGGGAACGCCGCAGUUAAUUUGGUAUGUGAUCGCAGUUAAUUUGGUCAAGUUCAUCUGCUCAUCGGCUUGUUGAGCUGUUAUGCGUCACCUAGAAGUAAUGUAGCUUUCAGAAAGUCAGGCAAGGACAUGGGAAAUGCGUGAACUAUUUUGGGUUUAGCACCCACUGUUUUGUUACUCUCAUUGUCUUAGUAGUGCAGUAGUGCAAAUUAUUGGAUCUUUGCUAGAAUAGAAUAACAUGGAGAGGAUAUUUGGAUCUGUUGCAAAUAUCAGGUAAGUGCAAAUUAUUGCAGUAGUGCAAAUUAUUGUAGUAGUGCAAAUUAAUUAGUGCAGUAGUAAUACAUGUUAGAUAGUGCAGUAGUGCAAAUAUCAGGUAAGUAGUGCAGUAGUAAUACACACAUCCAUGUCCUACAAUCCUAACAUUGAGUCAGAAUGCCAAAAACCUCCAUAUGUAAGGCUGGCAUCAUGAGCAUAGAUAUUCAGAAUUAUGGUAUGGGUAUAAAUGUUAGAUAGGACAUUGACUAUACAUGAACAUGAAUUUGGUUGGUUAUAGCUCUUGAAUAGCACCAAUGAAUCAGCUUGGCGAAUCUUGAACAUCACCAAACUGAAGUCCAGAAAAGAUAACAUUGACAUCAGUAAGAAAAAUUUUAUGCAAAAUAAGCAUUGCUAUGUAAUAAACUGUGGUUAUAAAAACUGCAAGUUGGUAUGAUUUCCAUAAGUCAUAGGUUUCAGUUCAUACAGUUCUGAACAAUCUGAUGAGUGGCAAGUUACCCACCAUCUUAGUACACAUUCAACCAUGAGCCCUCACAUGAGAUACUCAGAAAAUAAUUUAGAAAGCAUUUAAAGAUAUUCCGAAAGCCCUAUAGGAGGAGAGAAUAAAGGAAUACAGGGAAGAGAGCUAGAUGCCAAAUGAGACCUGUCUAUGCCACAAAAACGAGACAGGUUUUGACUGUAAAGCAUCCUUUAUCAAUAUGCUUGAGGAAUCCAUAUUCUUGAUAAGAGGAACAACCUGUGCCACAUGGACUAUUCAUCGAGCCUUGCAGAUGUUCUUCCAUCUGUGGAAUGCUUUAAGAAAAUGCUUUGAUAUUGUUGAAUCAUUUACAUUCAGCUCCUCCCCCUGUUUGUUUGUUGGUACAGCAAAGGAUCUCCUGUUUUUAUUCAUGGCAUAUAAAUUAACACAGUCAUUAUUUAAUCUGAACUUCAUCAGUACCUUGCAAACUUGAAUGUGUAGCAAAGCAGACUUGAUUAAAGAUAUCUGCAGUUUUAUAUUUUUUUAGCACCAAUCUAGGUUGGUGAAAUUCUUUAGACAUGCAGCAACAAUUUUACUUAUGGUGUAGUUACCUAUUUACCUUGCUCCCACAUGCUCCUGUUUAAGUUAGCUUUGACCAUGGAGAUAAUGAAAAUAGAAGUAGUUAACAUAUUAGUAAGUUAAAGGUAGUGUGCAUCCCCACUGUGCAGACCAUGUUAUGACAAUCUCAUAUGUUAGAAGCAUGCAGCCUACUUUUCGUACUAUUAUUGAUUGAAUACUGGUUAAAGGCAAUGUGCUUUGUAAAUUAUUGAUUUGGUCCUUUUUAAGCAAAGUUUUGUUGUGUUCUCAGGAUCGCUACCGUCAGGGCCGCAACAAGGUCAGCCUACUUUUCAUACUAUAACUGUAACAACUUGUGAGGCAUAUACUAACUAUUUGGAAACAGUGAAUGUCUA